rnacentral:rRNA from 1 species
UGCAGUCGAGCGGAGAUGAGGUGCUUGCACCUUAUCUUAGCGGCGGACGGGUGAGUAAUGCUUAGGAAUCUGCCUAUUAGUGGGGGACAACAUUCCGAAAGGAAUGCUAAUACCGCAUACGCCCUACGGGGGAAAGCAGGGGAUCUUCGGACCUUGCGCUAAUAGAUGAGCCUAAGUCGGAUUAGCUAGUUGGUGGGGUAAAGGCCUACCAAGGCGACGAUCUGUAGCGGGUCUGAGAGGAUGAUCCGCCACACUGGGACUGAGACACGGCCCAGACUCCUACGGGAGGCAGCAGUGGGGAAUAUUGGACAAUGGGCGGAAGCCUGAUCCAGCCAUGCCGCGUGUGUGAAGAAGGCCUUUUGGUUGUAAAGCACUUUAAGCGAGGAGGAGGCUACUUAGAUUAAUACUCUAGGAUAGUGGACGUUACUCGCAGAAUAAGCACCGGCUAACUCUGUGCCAGCAGCCGCGGUAAUACAGAGGGUGCGAGCGUUAAUCGGAUUUACUGGGCGUAAAGCGUGCGUAGGCGGCUGAUUAAGUCGGAUGUGAAAUCCCUGAGCUUAACUUAGGAAUUGCAUUCGAUACUGGUCAGCUAGAGUAUGGGAGAGGAUGGUAGAAUUCCAGGUGUAGCGGUGAAAUGCGUAGAGAUCUGGAGGAAUACCGAUGGCGAAGCAGCCAUCUGGCCUAAUACUGACGCUGAGUACGAAAGCAUGGGGAGCAAAC